UACGUAGGCAGCAAGCGUUGUUCGGAAUUACUGGGCGUAAAGAGUCCGUAGGUGGUUUGCCAAGUCCGAUGUGAAAUCUCCUGGCUUAACUGGGAGGGUGCGUUAGAUACUGGCAGGCUUGAGUGUGGGAGAGGAGAGCGGAAUUCCUGGUGUAGCGGUGAAAUGCGUAGAUAUCAGGAGGAACGCCUGUGGUGUAGACGGCUCUCUGGACCAUUACUGACACUGAGGUACGAAAGCGUGGGUAGCAAACAGG
rnacentral:rRNA from 1 species